UAUCACUUUCUAUUUUAUUGAUUCCUCCCUUAAUUUUUAGGAUCUCUAGUUUGGUUUUCUUCUGGGGUUUUUUAAUUUGUUCACUUCUGAGUUUUUUUAUUUGCAUUUCCAAUUCCUUGAUCUCUGCUCUCCCUACUUUGUUAAUAUAUGCACUCAGGGAUAUGAAUUUACCUCUGAUUACUGCUUUGGCUGCAUCCCAAAAGGUUUGAAAGAAUGCCUUGCCAUUGUCCUCGAUGAAAUUAUUAAUUGUUUCUAUGAUUUCUUCUUUAACUAAAUGAUUUUGGAGUAUCAUGUUAUUUAAUUUCCAAUUAAUUUUUGAUUUGGUUUUUCACGUACCAUUACUGAUCAUUAUUUUUAUUGCCUUGUGAUCUGAAAAGGCUGCAUUUAUUAUUUCUGUUUUUCUGCAUUUGUAUGCCAUGUUUCUGUGACCUAGUGUAUGGUCAAUCUUUGUGAUUGUGCCAUGUGGUGCUGAGAUGAAGGUGUAUUCCUUUUUUGUGAAUGUGCCAUGUGGUGCUGAGAAGAAGGUGUAUUCCUUUUUGUCCCUAUUUAUUUUUCUCCAUAUGUCUAUUAACUCUAAUUUUUCUAAGAUUUCAUUCACCUCUUUUUCCUCUUUCUUAUUUAUUUUUUGGUUUGAUUUAUCUAAAUUUGAUAGUGGUUGGUUCAAGUCUCCGACUAAUAUGGUUUUACUGUCUAUGUCUUCCUUCAAUUCUCCUAGUUUCUCCAUUAGAAAUUUGGAUGCUGUACCAUUUGGUGCAUACAUAUUGAUUAGUGAUAUUUCCUCAUUGUCUAUACUCCCUUUUAACAGAAUAUAUUUACCUUCCCUAUCCCUUUUAAUCAGAUCUAUUUUUGCUUUGGCUUUGUCAGAUAUCAUGAUUGCAAAUCCCGCCUUCUUUCUAUCACUUGAGGCCCAAAAGGUCUUACUCCAUCCUUUAAUUCUAACCUUGUGAGUAUCAACCCGCCUCAUAUGUGUUUCUUGAAGACAACAUAUGGUAGGGUUUUGGGUUCUAAUCCAAUCUGCUAUUUGUCUACGUUUUAUGGGUGAGUUCAUCCCAUUCAUGUUCAAAGUUAUGAUUGUCACUUGUGGAUUCCCUGGCAUUUUGAUAUCUUCCCCUAGUUCUGACCUUUCUUCUUUAGCUAUAUCCUUUUGAAGCGUGAUUUACUUUAGGUCAGUCCCCUGAGUCCCCACCCUUGAUAUGCUUCCCUUUUCAGCCCCUCCAUUUUUAUGCUCCCUUCCCCUUCCCCCUCUCCUUCCC
rnacentral:lncRNA from 1 species